AGUUAGUCGUUAUUAGGAAAGCCACAAUUACCACCUAUAAUAAUUAAAAAUCAGUCACCGUUUACACAUAUCACAAAAAAAAAAUUAUGCAGUUACGACAAAUUAAAGAAUGUUAUUGCUAUUUGAUCUUUUUGAUGCUAUAAUUGAAUAUAAGCAUAAAUAAAAUUUUAUGCCACCACAGAAUCUUGUGAGUCGUAAAUAAAAUUAAAUAAAAUAGAAAUAUGACAAUAACCAAAUUAUAUUUCUUGAUUAUUUUUUGUUACUGGAAGGAUCCUCGCAAAAGAACACCGAUUCCAACCAAGGAUGAUCCGUGAGGCUAUUGAAAUUAAAAAACAUCCAAAUUUCAAUAGAGAAGAUGGCUGGCAAUUACCACCUGCUUGGGACCCCAUUAUUAAUAUAAUUAAAUCAAAAACCAAGCAUAAUUUACCACCGAUUAAAGACUCAAUUACACAUUCUGCGUAGAUAGGACUAAAUAAAAUAUUGAUGUAUGUCGGGUAGUUUCGAAUAACUUUGUAACGAUACGAUGUCUGACACCUCAGUCCUCCCGUGACCAUGGUUGCUGUAAAGUAUCCGAAACGUCGGGAAUCAAAAGUUAACAAUAAACCGCGAUAAAAUCCGAAAAAAGUGUUUCAUUAAACAAUACAUUUAGUCCAUCUUUUUUCUAAACCCGGGAUUCCCUUUGAAAAAAAUUCUUUUU
rnacentral:misc_RNA from 1 species